UUUAACCGUGGAUCUUCCUUUCCUUGCACCCGUGGAAGAAGAGGAUGAAGAGAACCCCUUGCUGCCUUGGAGAAGGAGAAGAGGAAGAAGCGGCUGACGUGAGGAAGAACACCUUCUUCCUUAGCGUGAUUUGAUUUCUUCCUUUGCUUCUUCUUAUUCUUUUCUUUCCAACACUUGGAGGAAGAAGAACCCUUUCACCUUGCUGCCGUGAGGAGAGAAGAGGGCCUCCUCUUGCUGCCGUGGGAAAGGAAGAAGGGAAGAGGGUAGGAGGCGUGGAGAGGAAAAGGAGAACCAAUACCUAUAACGCCUCAAAGGUCCUUCAAAUAGAUUUGUGCUUGUGUCAAUCUACAAUUUCUGUAAGAAUUCCUACAACUGAACAUCUCUAUUUAUGCAUGUAUGGAAUUUAUCGUUGGUUAUAAUUUACCAGUAUGUUGAUAUUAAUUUUAUGAGCUUGUAUGACACAUAUGAGAUGUGCAUUUUGUUAUGAAAAUAUUGAAAUAAUUAAAUUGGGAAGAAUUAACAUAUUUUUGAGAAUUUAAGAAAAUAUGUGAGGUGAUUGGAAUUUGAUUAAACAUGUAAAACUAAACAUGUAAAAUGGGUUGGACUAACAUUGUCAUGAGAUAGCCUCUACGAGCUUAUGCGUAGGAUAGCUGUCACGAGCUGAUGCGUGGGAUAGCCUCCACGGGCUUAAGCAUGGGAUAGCCUCUACGAGCUUAUGCGUGGGACAGCCUCCACGGGCUUACGUGUGGGAUAGCCUCUACGAGCUUAUGCGUAGGAUAGCCUCCACGGGCUUACGCAUGGAAUAACUGCCACGAGCUUAUGCGUGGGAUUUGUGCAGUCUUGGAUUGGGACAUGAACUUGAUUAGUCCAAAGCCAGAAGUGAAAAAUCUGAAAACUUGGAAAUCAGAGUAUUACGUGAAUGGAUCACAUAAUGUGAAAAAGGAUUUAUGUAUAUGAAAUGGUUAUAUAUAUUUGUUGUUUGUUGAGCCUUUGAAAAGAUGAAAUGACAUUUAUUUGAUGCUUUGAUUAUUUUAUUAUUAUUACUGUGUGUGGCUGUUGGAAUUCUUACUGGGCUGGAAAAGCUCAUACUACACUUACAUUUUUUUCAGAGGCAUUGGAUUCGUAGAAUCUGUCGGGUGGGACAAGAAGUGAGCUCGAUCUGGAAUCAGACUGCUAGAUAGUUAGAAGCAGCUUAUCUUUUAUUGAUGAACAUUUGAAAAUCUUGUAAUUGAACCGAUUGUUUAUUUGGACAUGUCGGAUUUGUCAAUUUGAAUUAAUUAAUUAGUUGUGGAUUUAUUGAAUUGUUGUUUAUCUUAGGCCUUGCAUGAUCUUUAGGGCACUGCUCUAGGGCUCAUGCGGCCGGUCAUGUGCCGGACCCGGGUGAUGGGUACGGGGCGUGACAGAAAUUACUGCAAUGACAAUAGUAACUGUAGCCCACAUUUUUCAGCUAAGCUCUAUUUGCUUAAUGUCUGGCUUGAUGAUGUUUAGUUGGUCUUUGACUAUUUCAACUUCUGACUCCUUAUAUGUUUAUAUGUACAGCAUAACAUAUAAGUGUUGAAACAUUCACCUAUUUAUAUACUGUAGUCUGCAUAGGUUAUAUGCACUCUACACAUAUAAGGCUAACGCCCUUAUGUGACAUUACUCUGAUGCUUAAUCCUCAAGUUUUUGACAUCAUAAUCAAUGGCCACAUGAUGAUAAACAAAAUCUUCAAUCAAUAUGUCUACUGAAUUUCAUUGAUUCAUCAAUAUUUAGGUGCUUCAGUAUAAGGAUUGUAUAAAGAUGUUUUGGACCAUAAGGACUAAAAUAUUAGGUUUAAAUUUCCAAUUACAUGAUUAUUGACCUUCCAGCAAUGCUGAUUUGACAAAUACCAACCCCUUUCCCAAUUUCAUUAGGGUUUGAGAGGGCGACAGUAUUCAAC
rnacentral:lncRNA from 1 species